UACAGAGGGUGCGAGCGUUAAUCGGAAUUACUGGGCGUAAAGCGUGCGUAGACGGUUUCGUAAGUCGGGUGUGAAAUCCCCGGGCUCAACCUGGGAAUUGCAUUCGAAACUGCGAGGCUAGGGUACGGAAGAGGGAAGCGGAAUUUCUGGUGUAGCGGUGAAAUGCGUAGAUAUCAGAAGGAACACCAGUGGCGAAGGCGGCUUACUGGACUCAUACUGACGCUGAGGCGCGAGAGCGUGGGGAGCAAACAGG
rnacentral:rRNA from 1 species